rnacentral:rRNA from 1 species
AUGAACGCUGGCGGCGUGCCUAAUACAUGCAAGUCGAGCGAACAGACGAGGAGCUUGCUCCUCUGACGUUAGCGGCGGACGGGUGAGUAACACGUGGAUAACCUACCUAUAAGACUGGGAUAACUUCGGGAAACCGGAGCUAAUACCGGAUAAUAUAUUGAACCGCAUGGUUCAAUAGUGAAAGACGGUUUUGCUGUCACUUAUAGAUGGAUCCGCGCCGCAUUAGCUAGUUGGUAAGGUAACGGCUUACCAAGGCAACGAUGCGUAGCCGACCUGAGAGGGUGAUCGGCCACACUGGAACUGAGACACGGUCUAGACUCCUACGGGAGGCAGCAGUAGGGAAUCUUCCGCAAUGGGCGAAAGCCUGACGGAGCAACGCCGCGUGAGUGAUGAAGGUCUUCGGAUCGUAAAACUCUGUUAUUAGGGAAGAACAAAUGUGUAAGUAACUAUGCACGUCUUGACGGUACCUAAUCAGAAAGCCACGGCUAACUACGUG